GUUUAUGGGCUGGAUAGACAUGCUAGUCGAGCGCCUCCCAGCCACGACGGAGGCGCGGCGCACAGCUCAGUAACACGUGGCUAACCUGCCCUUGGGACAGAGACACCCCCGGGAAACUGGGGCUAAUCCCUGAUAGGUGAAGAACUCUGGAAUGAGUCUUCACCCAAAAGACGCCUAGGCCACGCUUCUAGACGUCGCCCAAGGAUGGGGCCGCGACCGAUCAGGUUGUUGGUGAGGUAACGGCCCACCAAGCCUUUUACCGGUACGGGCCGUGAGAGCGGGAGCCCGGAGAUGGGCACUGAGACAAGGGCCCAGGCCCUACGGGGCGCAGCAGUCGCGCAAACUUUGCAAUACACGAAAGUGUGACAGGGCUAUCCCGAGUGCCGUCCGCUGAGGGUGGCUUUUACCCAGUCUAGAAAGCUGGGAGAAUAAGGAGAGGGCAAGUCUGGUGUCAGCCGCCGCGGUAAUACCAGCUCUCCGAGUGGUGUGGAUGUUUAUUGGGCCUAAAGCAUCCGUAGCUGGCUGAUCAAGUCCCCUGUUAAACCCAACGAAUUAACCGUUGGAUUGCGGGGGAUACUGCUCGGCUAGGGGACGAGAGAGGCCGACGGUAUUUUCGGGGUAGGGGUGAAAUCCUAUAAUCCCGGGAAGACCACCAGUGGCGAAGGCUGUCGGCUAGAACGCGCCCAACGGUGAGGGAUGAAAGCUGGGGGAGCGAACCGGAUUAGAUACCCGGGUAGUCCCAGCUGUAAACGAUGCACGCUAGGUGUUUGGGCGGCCACGCGCCGCUCUAGUGCCGCAGGAAAGCUGUUAAGCCUGCCGCCUGGGGAGUACGGCCGCAAGGCUGAAACUUAAAGGAAUUGGCGGGGGAGCACCACAAGGGGUGAAGCUUGCGGUUUAAUUGGAGUCAACGCCGGG
rnacentral:rRNA from 1 species